rnacentral:rRNA from 1 species
UUCGCAAUGCCCGAAAGGGUGACGAAGCGACGCCGCGUGUGGGAAGAAGGCCUUCGGGUUGUAAACCACUGUCGGGAGUUAAGAAAUGUAAGGGUGUUAAUAGUAUCCUUACUUGACUAAGGCUCCGGAGGAAGCCACGGCUAACUCUGUGCCAGCAGCCGCGGUAAUACAGAGGCGGCAAGCGUUGUUCGGAAUUAUUGGGCGUAAAGAGCACGUAGGCGGCCUUGCAAGUCAGUUGUGAAAGCCUUCUGCUUAACGGAAGAACAGCAGCUGAUACUGCAAGACUAGAGUGCGGAAGGGGAGAGUGGAACUUCUGGUGGAGCGGUGAAAUGCGUAGAUAUCAGAAGGAACACCGGCGGCGAAGGCGACUCUCUGGUCCGUAACUGACGCUGAGUGUGCGAAAGCUAGGGGAGCAAACGGGAUUAGAUACCCCGGUAGUCCUAGCCGUAAACGAUGGGCACUAAGUAGAGGGGUUUUA